AAUUACAAUAUAUGAAACUUGGGUUGAGGGUCAAGUUGGUAGUUUUCUUGCAUCCCCCGCUUGCAGUGCUCGGGUAUCAUAUGUGAUCCCAAAUUAAAGACUCUUUAGUAUUAGAUAAAAAGCACCUAAAU
rfam:Nicotiana sylvestris Nsyl_contig71061, whole genome shotgun sequence.